ensembl:lncRNA
GUAAGUAAACAACACACACACACACACACACACACACACACACGCAGCCUCUCCUGCAUGUUACUCCUGUAAAUGUUCUGUUUUUCUCCAUGGCUCAUUUCAGUGAGAAAGAGAUGAAAAUGACCAAAAAACAAUAAACACUUAAAAAAAAAAAAAAAAAAGUGAAUCAUUUCUUGCAUGAUGAAAACUGAUCUCGUGAAACAUUCAUCCAACUUAAUACAAAUGAAAAUAUGCCAUAAGAAAAGGUAUUCAAGUGUAAAAUCAAGCAGGAUGAAUGUUUUUAUGUGAUGCAGCCAGACGCAAAGCAGACUCACUGCUACAGCACCAAAGUGGAUUAUUUUUCAAUAACAGCACAUCAGAGGGGGGAAAGAAAAAUAUGAAUAUGUGUUACCAGGACAGCCAACCUGAUUCAAAGUAAACACAGUUGUGCCUCAGAUUCUGCCAGAUGGCACAAGUAUACCAGAGAACCUUGAGGAAAGCACAAAUGACUUUUUUUUUUGGCGGGUGGAGAAUAACGCUGACAUGGCCGAUCUGGAUGGAUGUAAAAUCACAGCAUAACGGGAAAUCGGAAAUUACCCCUGGAACCCUUGUACAUUUAAUCCCAUCUAAACAGAUCUAUGGGGACAUAGACUGCUUAUCAAUCUUUAAGCAAUUUCUUCCUCCUGUUGUCUUUACAGGAGAGCACAUCAAAUUAGCCAAAAAAAAAAAAAUCAACAUAAAACAGCCUUAAAAAACCAUAAAAUAACCUACAUUCUGCUCACACAUUAUGAUUUCAUGAUCCCGAUUUAGAAACAAGCUUCAUUAAGAAAGAAGUAACUGCCACUGCAUGAGAUGGAAGAAUAUAAAGCAAACUAAUAGGAUGCUUCUGGCAAUCUCUGGCAACCCCAGAGGCGUGAACCUCCUGCAGGCACUUGGAUCAUUCGAGGCCCUACAGGAACAAAGAGGCAGCAUCUCAGAACCUAACCUUCAGACAUGAUUUCUUGUUCCUGCUAACUGCAGCAAAAUGAACUGACUACCGUAAUUAAAUCUUUCAAAGCACAGAUUGGUUCAACAAGGCAAUAUCUCGCGGUAUUUUGUAGGUAAAGCUGUUUAUGAUUGUAGAAAAAGACAGGAAGUGAAACAGCAAAACAUCGAAGCAUCUGUUCUCAAGCAACACACACGCAAACAGCAGAGAUGCGAGGUCCCUGACUCUUCCCAGAACAGGAGUGUAUUACCGAAAAAGACACACUGGAUUUGGACGAAUCAUCUCAAUCUGGUUGCUCUUAAUAAUAAAUAAAUAAACUCACAGACAGAACUCUUUUCAGAGAUUAACACCUGCAGUACAUAGAAGGGAAUGUGUUCUUCUGUUUGGUUUUGUUUUCUUAUCUUAACACAAUGUCUCCUGUUCAUUCAAUGUCCUUAUGUCCGUCGUGUUCAUUCUCUUGCUAGUUCGGAACUACUGACUUGUUGUUCUCUGCUUGACUAAAAUACAGGUUCUCAAAGUGUUUCAGGAGCGCAACUGCGAUAUUUACUCACAUCCCGAGCCUAGCAGCCAUGUUGGAUUCCACAGUGAGUGACCAUAUAGCACUGUUCUUAUGACUAGAAAUGAAUAUGAGCGGCACUUAAAUGUUUUGGG